rnacentral:rRNA from 1 species
UACGUAGGGGGCAAGCGUUGUCCGGAUUUAUUGGGCGUAAAGAGCGUGUAGGCGGCCAGAUAGGUCCGUUGUGAAAACUGGAGGCUUAACCUCCAGCGGUCGAUGGAAACCAUCUGGCUAGAGUCCGGAAGAGGAGACUGGAAUUCAUGGUGUAGCAGUGAAAUGCGUAGAGAUCAUGAGGAAGACCAGUGGCGAAGGCGGGUCUCUGGACAGUUCCUGACACUGAGACACGAAGGCCAGGGGAGCAAACGGG